rnacentral:rRNA from 1 species
CCUACGGGCGGCAGCAGUGGGGAAUAUUGCACAAUGGGGGCAACCCUGAUGCAGCGACGCCGCGUGAGUGAAGAAGGACUUCGUUAUGUAAAGCUCUAUCAGCAGGGAAGAAAAUGACGGUGCCUGAGUAAGAAGCCCCGGCUAACUACGUGCCAGCAGCCGCGGGAAUACGUAGGGGGCAAGCGUUAGCCGGAUUUACUGGGUGUAAAGGGAGCGGAGACGGCAGUGCAAGUCUGGAGUGAAAGGCGGGGGCUCAACCCCCGGACUGCUCUGGAAACUGUACGGCUGGAGUGCAGGAGAGGUAAGUAGAAUUCCAGGUGUAGCGGUGAAAUGCGUAGAUAUCAGGAGGAAGACCAGUGGCGAAGGCGGCUUACUGGACUGUAACUGACGUUGAGGUGCGAAAGCGUGGGGAGCAAACAGGAUUAGAUACCCCAGUAGUC